rnacentral:rRNA from 1 species
AGUGAACGCUGGCGGUAGGCCUAACACAUGCAAGUCGAACGGCAGCACAGUAAGAGCUUGCUCUUACGGGUGGCGAGUGGCGGACGGGUGAGGUAUACAUCGGAAUCUACUUUUUCGUGGGGGAUAACGUAGGGAAACUUACGCUAUUACCGCAUACGACCUACGGGUGAAAGCAGGGGAUCUUCGGACCUUGCGCGAUUGAAUGAGCCGAUGUCGGAUUAGCUAGUUGGCGGGGUAAAGGCCCACCAAGGCGACGAUCCGUAGCUGGUCUGAGAGGAUGAUCAGCCACACUGGAACUGAGACACGGUCCAGACUCCUACGGGAGGCAGCAGUGGGGAAUAUUGGACAAUGGGCGCAAGCCUGAUCCAGCCAUACCGCGUGGGUGAAGGAGGCCUUCGGGUUGUAAAGCCCUUUUGUUGGGAAAGAAAAGCAGCAGGUUAAUACCCCGCUGUUCUGACGGUACCCAAAGAAUAAGCACCGGCUAACUUCGUG